CCAGAUUCUCUCCCUAGGUGUGUUUGUCUGCCAUUCCCUCCUGUCACGCUCAGAUGCUCCGCUCAGCUUGGGGUGCAGCUCACAUUCCCCGGGAUCCGGCCUCUCGCUAUGGGUGUCCGCAGCGCCGUCCUGUGCCUCCUGCUCGUCUGCGGGGCCCUGGGCCUCACCACGCCCUCUGCCCGGGCUCGGCUCCGCUGUUACGCCUGCAGCUUCGCCAGGCCCUGCUACCCUGUUCCCACGGAGUGUCAGGACGACGAGGCUUGCGGCAUCAGCGUUGGCACCUCAGACCAGAAUGAGGUCAUCGAGCGGAAAGGCUGCCUCCCCAGGGCCCAGUGCCCUCUGCCAGGCCAUGCCACCUACUGGUCACGCUCCUACAUGCUGCGCCACCAGUGCUGUGAACAGGACUUGUGCAACCUGGCCACCUCGACCCGGCAGCUCCCCAGCCUUCUGCUCACCACCCUGGUCCUCCUCGUGACCGGCUUCACCUGGGGAGGCCGCCUCCUCCACUAGCCUCGUGUGGAUCUGUGGGCCUCGGGGCAGGGCUCCUCCACCAUCACCACAGGCCUGCAACCCCCGCACGGACACCUGAGACUUGCCCAAGAACCUGAUUUUGUACAAAGACCUCAGACCCCUGGGCCCAACAGCCCCGCAGGUACCUGCCCAGAGCCCGGCCCCCAAAGAAACCCUUGUUCUGUGUCUUUCUAGAUGCCUGGUGCUGAUGUCCCCUCUUAGCCCCAGAUCCCUGGCAAGGUAGCCACUUUGAUGAGGUUGUGGGCCCCUGGCAAGAGGGCGGAAGGGACACUGGAACGGUGACGAGGAGUCUGGCUGGGAAAGACGUUACUUGGAUCCUGCCCCGACCUCCUACGCCAACAUCAGUGGAGAAUGGCGGUGCUGUCCUGCCGCACAUGGACAGCUAACUGCAGAGCACACCUCCAGCCACAACUGCCCCAGUAGUAAUUCACCUUUCCCAGAAAAAAUAAAGUGGUUCCCAUGUA